CUACGGGUCGCUGCAGCCGAGAAUAUUCGACAAUGGACGAAAGUCUGAUCGAGCGACACUGCGUGAAGGAUGAAGUCCCUCGGGACGUAAACUUCUUUUGUGAGGGAAAAAGUAAUUGAUUGUACCUCAAGAAUAAGGGGCUCCUAACUCUGUGCCAGCAGGAGCGGUAAUACAGAGGCCCCAAGCGUUACCCGGAAUUACUGGGCGUAAAGGAUGCGUAGGUGGCGCACUUAGUCUCUCGUCAAAUCCUCUCUGCUCAACAGUGAGAGUGCGAGGGAAACGGGUGUGCUCGAGGAUGUAAUAGGUAUGCGGAACUCAUGGUGUAGGGAUUAAAUCCGUUGAUAUCAUGGGGAACACCAAAAGCGAAGGCAGCAUACUGGGACAUUCCUGACACUGAGGCAUGAAAGCGUAGGUAGCGAAAAGGAUUAGAUACCCGUGUAGUC
rnacentral:rRNA from 1 species